GUUGUGCAGGGGUACGGAACAUGGCAAAAUGUGGCCAUGAGCAUCCUUGGUGUCUGCUCCGCUCUGUGCACUCCAGGUGCAUGUUAAACGGCUGUGGGUGGCGUCCAUGUGAUGCUUAGAACUAUAGCACUACUGAGGCAA
rnacentral:snoRNA from 1 species